rnacentral:rRNA from 1 species
UACAGAGGUGGCAAGCGUUGUUCGGAAUUACUGGGCGUAAAGGGCGCGUAGGCGGCCUUCUAAGUCAGACGUGAAAUCCCCCGGCUUAACCUGGGAACUGCGUCUGAUACUGGGAGGCUAGAGUAUGGGAGAGGGAUGUAGAAUUCCAGGUGUAGCGGUGAAAUGCGUAGAUAUCUGGAGGAACACCGGUGGCGAAGGCGGCAUCCUGGACCGGUAUUGACGCUGAUGCGCGAAAGCCAGGGGAGCAAACGGG